rnacentral:rRNA from 1 species
GAUGAACGCUGGCGGCGUGCCUAAUACAUGCAAGUCGAGCGGACGGACGAGAAGCUUGCUUCUCUGAUGUUAGCGGCGGACGGGUGAGUAACACGUGUAUACCCUACCUAUAAGACUGGGAUCACUUCGGGAAACCGGAUCUAAUACCGGAUAAUAUUUUGAACCGCAGGGUUCAAAGGUGAAAGACGGUCUUGCUGUCACUUCUAGAUGGAUCCGCGCUGCAUUAGCUAGUUGGUAAGGUAACGGCUUACCAAGGCUACGAUGCGUAGCCGAACUGAGAGGGUGAUAGGCCACACUGGAACUGAGACACGGUCAAGACUCCUACGGGAGGCCGCAGUAGGGAAUCUUCCGCAAUGGGCGAAAGCCUGACGCAGCAAGGCCGCGUGAGUGAUGAAGGUCUUCGGAUCGUAAAACUCUGUUAUUAGGGAAGAACAUAUGUGUAAGUAACUGUGCACAUCUUGACGGUACCUAAUCAGAAAGCCACGGCUAACUACGUG